rnacentral:rRNA from 1 species
GAAUUCACUAGUGANUGGAUCNCAGGCCUAACACAUGCAAGUCGAACGAGAUCCUUCGGGGUCUAGUGGCGCACGGGUGCGUAACGCGUGGGAAUCUGCCCUUUGCUUCGGAAUAACAGUUAGAAAUGACUGCUAAUACCGGAUGAUGUCGCAAGACCAAAGAUUUAUCGGCAAGGGAUGAGCCCGCGUAGGAUUAGGUAGUUGGUGGGGUAAAGGCUCACCAAGCCGACGAUCCUUAGCUGGUCUGAGAGGAUGAUCAGCCACACUGGGACUGAGACACGGCCCAGACUCCUACGGGAGGCAGCAGUGGGGAAUAUUGGACAAUGGGGGAAACCCUGAUCCAGCAAUGCCGCGUGAGUGAUGAAGGCCUUAGGGUUGUAAAGCUCUUUUACCAGGGAUGAUAAUGACAGUACCUGGAGAAUAAGCUCCGGCUAACUCCGUG